UCAGAUUUGAAGAUGUAUAUGCAACUUCAUUAAUUGUGGUUUUGAGUUCUGAAGUUCCUUCACCGAGUGCUAUUGUUGGUUAUACCUUAUGGCAUCGCAAGGCUCAGGAUACUGAUUAUCCUACAGAACCAACAUGCACACUGUUUGUGCCCAAUACAAGGUUUGUUGUCACAGGUCUAUCUCCAGCUACACAGUACCAUUUCAAAAUUGUUUCCUUCAAUGACGUAAGAAGAGAAAUGGGCAUGUUUGAAGUUCAGUGCUGUACUCAGGAUGAAGUCCCAAACUGCUUGGUUGUAG
rnacentral:misc_RNA from 1 species